CUUUCCUACGGGACGCAGCAGUGAGGAAUAUUGGUCAAUGGUCGGGAGACUGAACCAGCCAAGCCGCGUGAGGGAUGAAGGUAGAGAGUAUCGUAAAGCUCUUUUGUCAGGGAACAAAGGCGGGGACGCGUCCCCGGAUGAGUGUACCUGAAGAAAAAGCAUCGGCUAACUCCGUGCCAGCAGCCGCGGUAAUACGUAGGGGGCGAGCGUUACCCGGAUUUACUGGGUGUAAAGGGGGCGCAGACGGCCAUGGCAAGCCCGGUGUGAAAGGUGCGGGCACAAC
rnacentral:rRNA from 1 species